CCCGUUUAACCCAAAAGGGAGCCAGUGGAAUUCCACCCGCUCGAAAGUCCGAGCUCUUUGAGUGGGUGAAAUUUCACCCGCUCGUUGUUUCGGCCGCUCGACCUCCCUCCUCAAUGCACGACCUCCUUCGGCAGCUCACAUCGCACCGCAGCUCCUCCUCCCUCGAGCCUUCUCACAUCGCACCAAAGUGGAAGGAGGUCGCACCGUGCCGCUGCCUCUCUGCUCCACCGCCGAGACCGUCGCCUCUGUGCCGUCGCGUCUCCGCUCCACCGCCGAGCUUCGACUCCUGCUUCAUUAGACGCUUGUUCAUUUUGGCUUAUAAUGUUGAACAUGUAUAUGUUUAAAAUGGAUGAUAUAUGCAUCAUGAUGACUUGAAAUGUGAGAGAGAGAGAGAGAGAGGGAGAGAGAGGGAGGGACACUUCAUGUAGGUUGGAAGCAUGGUAUGCACAGUAACGGAUGCUCGGUACAUCUCGAUCCUGUUCUUCUGCAGCUGACUUGCAGGUGCUAAAUGGGAAGCAUGUAGACUGCCCCUCUCCAACCUACAGUCCAAAGCUACUCACUGCGCAAUCUAAGUUACGCAUAAGAUGGAGCUCUGGAGCUCUCAUUCAGCACUCGUACAUUACCAUUUUUAAUCUUGAACCAUGAACUGUAAGACCCUGUUGCUUGCACAUCAACCAACAGAUGUAGACUUAUCUGGACAGGUGAAUGUUAAUCAACAAGACACUGAAAUGGGGUCUCAAAGCGCAGUUACAUGGAACUGCCAUAUGUUGCUUACAGAUUUUAGUUCUUGUGUCAAAAGUUUAGGCCAAUCUGAUUCCCUUUGUCUGUAGUUUGAACUGGGCUUCUGCCAUUUCUUUUUUCUUCUAUCAUUUUCUUCUUAGAUGUUAGGGUUUGUAACUAAUAUGACAUAUGUUAGGGUUUGUAAUUAAUAUGGCAUGUGUUCAAACAUGCCUUGG